UACGGAGGGUGCGAGCGUUGUCCGGAAUUACUGGGCGUAAAGCGCGCGUAGGCGGCUUUGUAAGUUAGAGGUGAAAGCCCGGGGCUCAACCCCGGAACUGCCUUUAAGACUGCAUCGCUUGAAUCCGGGAGAGGUGAGUGGAAUUCCGAGUGUAGAGGUGAAAUUCGUAGAUAUUCGGAAGAACACCAGUGGCGAAGGCGGCUCACUGGACCGGUAUUGACGCUGAUGUGCGAAAGCGUGGGGAGCAAACAGG
rnacentral:rRNA from 1 species